rnacentral:rRNA from 1 species
GUCCACGCUGUAAACGAUGUCAACUAGCCGUUGGUCCUAUUUACAGGAUGAGUGGCGCAGCUAACGCAUUAAGUUGACCGCCUGGGGGAGUACGGCCGCAAGGUUAAAACUCAAAAUGAAUUGACGGGGGGCCCGCACAAGCGGUGGAGCAUGUGGUUUAAUUCGAUGCAACGCGAAGAACCUUACCUACCCUUGACAUCCAGAGAAUCUGUUAGAGAUAGUGGAGUGCCUUCGGGAACUCUGAGACAGGUGCUGCAUGGCUGUCGU